GAUGAACGCUAGCUACAGGCUUAACACAUGCAAGUCGAGGGACCGGCGCACGGGUGAGUAACACGUAUCCAACCUGCCCUUUACUCGGGGAUAGCCUUUCGAAAGAAAGAUUAAUACCCGAUGUAAAGGAUGGGGAUGCGUUCCAUUAGGUUGUUGGUGAGGUAACGGCUCACCAAGCCUUCGAUGGAUAGGGGUGAUGAGAGGAAGGUCCCCCACAUUGGAACUGGGACCCGGUCCACACUCCGACGUGAUGUAGCAGUGAGGAAGAUUGGUCAAUGGGCUUUAUCCUGAACCAGCCAAGUAGCGUGAAGGAUGAAGGCUUAUGGGUCGUAAACUUCUUUUAUAUAAGAAUAUGUAUUAUAUUAAUAAGGAUCGGCUAACUCCGUGCCAGCCGCCGCGGUAAUAC
rnacentral:rRNA from 1 species